rnacentral:lncRNA from 1 species
CAGGCACAGGUCGCCAGAACCGUCCAGUGGGAUGGCUGCCGCCUCCUCGGGGACCGCUGCCUGAGGGCCAGGACCGGGGUCGCCUGGCCGCCCGGGGAACCCGCAGCUCCCGGGGCGCUGCGCCGGCGGCCGGGAGGCGCCGGCGCCCGCUCCCCCUCCCCGCCCCCCCGCUCCCGCCUCCUGCCCGCGGCGCGGUGCUCCUGCUCGCCCCGGCCGGCCGCGCGGCCGCGCACACACUCACUCCGAGGGCGCCUCCAAGGUUCCUGCGUGGAGCUGUUUUCAUGGGACUGCCAUAUAAAAGCAGAACAGUCUCCAGAGACCGAGACAGGGACUUUCCCCCGUAGCCUUUUGAUGAAGGUUGCUUAGGGCAGCCAGGAAGGCUGUGAGCACGACCUUUUCUUGCUCCAGCACUGUGACUGCCCGGCGCCUAUGGACUAUUUACUUCUACCCCCGGCAAAAGCCGAAA